CUCAUCUUCAAGACUUACCAGGUUUCACACGCAGUGUUUAUAAAAGAGACCAUGCUUUAAUAACACCUGAAAGUCAUGUAUUCAGUCCUUUACCUGGGUGGACAAAUACAUUAGGAGCAUAUCUAAUCACGCCGGCUAUGGGCUCGCACUUUGUGAUGUACUUAGCAAAGAUGCAAGGAAAAUCAAGAUCAGGGNNNNNNUGAUGUAGAGAGGUUCAUAUUCGUAGUUCAGGGUUCUGUGACUCUCACGAAUACAUCUAGCACCAGUCACAAACUAAUGGUGGAUUCAUAUGCCUAUUUACCUCCGAAUUUUGAACAUUCUGUGGAAUGUGAUGCAUCUGCUACUCUUGCUGUCUUUGAACGAAGGUAUGCUUCCCUAGACAAUCUAAUUACUGAACUGAUUGUGGGUUCAACAGACGAGCAGCCAAUUCUUGAGACUCCAGGGGAGGUGUUUGAACUUAGGAAGCUUCUUCCCCCAUCAUUGCCUUAUGACUUCAAUAUCCAUAUCAUGGAUUUUCAACCCGGUGAAUUCCUUAAUGUGAAAGAAGUCCAUUAUAAUCAGCAUGGUUUACUGCUAUUAGAGGGAAAUGGUAUUUAUCGUCUGGGUGAUAGCUGGUAUCCAGUCCAAUCUGGUGAUGUCAUUUGGAUGGCCCCAUUUGUGCCUCAGUGGUAUGCUGCUCUCGGUAAAACCCGG
rnacentral:misc_RNA from 1 species